GACGAACGCUGUCGGCGCGCCUAAUACAUGCAAGUCGAGCGAACAGAUAAGGAGCUUGCUCCUUUGAAGUUAGCGGCGGACGGGUGAGUAACACGUGGGUAACCUACCUAUAAGACUGGAAUAACUUCGGGAAACCGGAGCUAAUGCCGGAUAACAUAUAGAACCGCAUGGUUCUAUAGUGAAAGAUGGUUUUGCUAUCACUUAUAGAUGGACCCGCGCCGUAUUAGCUAGUUGGUAAGGUAAAGGCUUACCAAGGCGACGAUACGUAGCCGACCUGAGAGGGUGAUCGGCCACACUGGAACUGAGACACGGUCCAGACUCCUACGGGAGGCAGCAGUAGGGAAUCUUCCGCAAUGGGCGAAAGCCUGACGGAGCAACGCCGCGUGAGUGAUGAAGGUUUUCGGAUCGUAAAACUCUGUUAUUAGGGAAGAACAAAUGCGUAAGUAACUGUGCGCAUCUUGACGGUACCUAAUCAGAAAGCCACGGCUAACUACGUGCCAGCAGCCGCAGUAACAC
rnacentral:rRNA from 1 species